UAUACAUCAAGUUCGCUGUUGAGUGGCUGGACGGAACGUCUCGUCUCUUGUCGUUGAUUGUCGGUUUCACCAGAUCGUUGUGAUUUAUUAAUUGUGCCUAAUUUCACUGUUAAAUCCGUGGAACUUGUCCGGCGUCUGCACCAAGGAUGUCGUUGUUCUCGGGUGGGGCGCAGGAAUGUACUGGCGAAGAGAGCGGGGAUGGUGGCCACUGUCACUCAAAGGACGCCAUGGCGACAGCCGAGAUGUUUUCGGCAGAGCAGCAGUUGCUCUUCAAUGCCUCGGGGCAUGGCCCAUCCCCAUGGCAACCGGUCAGCCCAAAUCAGCACACGUACAUUGGCAUCUACCUGAUCAUUGUUGGUGUUCUGGGAACCUUCGACAAUGCUCUUGUGGUGGCCAUGUUCCUGCGAUUCAGAGUCCUCCUGACGCCGUCCAAUCUUCUCCUCCUGAACCUCUGCAUAUCCGACUUAGGGAUCUGCCUUCUUGGAGGUUUCCCCUUCAGUGGUGUCUCCUCCUUAGCUGGCCGGUGGCUCUACGGUGACUUCGGAUGUCAGUACUACGCCUUCAUGGGGUUCCUGAUGGGGAUGGCCAACGUCACAACACUCCUCAUGAUUGCUCUCGAUCGGUACCUCGUCACUUGCAGGCAUGACUUACGUGGAAAACUGACGUACAGACGCUACUGUCAGAUGAUCAUCUUCAUCUGGUGUUGGUCUCUCUUCUGGUCGGUGUGUCCUCUCCUCGGAUGGGGAAGCUACGGCUAUGAGCCUUCUGUGACGACUUGCACCAUCAACUGGCAGAAGAACGACACGAGUUACAAGUGGUACAUCAUGACCCUCACCGUCCUGGGUUACGUCAUCCCCUUGAUCCUCAUCUGCUCCUGCUACUAUCAGGCCUCCAGGUUCCUCCACAGGGCUCGCGAGUCUGGGGAGUCCGUCUACGCCUACGACUGGGCAACUGAAAGGAACGUGACAAGGAUGGGCAUCAUCCUAGUGCUGGCUUUCAUGGUCUUCUGGAGUGCCUACGCUGUCGUCUGCAUCUGGACCGUAUUCAGGCAUCCUUAUACAGUCCCUCUCAUCCUUACUCUCCUUCCUCCUCUCUUGGCAAAGGCAUCUCCAGUUCUGAACCCCAUCAUCUACUACUACUCUCACCCUCGCCUGAAGAAGGGAAUGAUGGCCACGCUUACCUGCUGCUUCCGCGACCCUCCUCCAGAGCUCCUGGAACUCCCCGAGACCAAGAGCAUGACUGAACACAAAUGACACUUCCAAGCAAGGAUACUCGCGCACUCCUUGGGAUGUAUCCACAACCAGUGCCUCAGGGACAGACCCAAUCCUGGGGGCGUUGAUUUAGAUGGGCACAUUCCAAAUCAUGUGCAUUAUAUCCCAGAGGAGCAGUACGAAUUGAGUCGUGAACGGUGGUAGUUUUAGGUGAAAAGAUUGUGAGAGGUACUUGGUUUGUCUGAGGAUAUGAGCAGCUCUUGACUGUUUUUGUGUGUGCGCCUUAAUCUCGUCAAAUUAAAAGUAUCAGAUCUCUAAUUCACUCUGUUAAUUAUGGUAAAAUUUUCAUUUCCAGUGAAGAAUGGUAUAUAUUUUUGCGGGGUUUCUAGGUAACAAAGUUUUCCAAAUGUGAAAAAUUAUUUUUUUUAAUAUUGAUAGACGUGAUUACAUAUGAUUAAGAGUUAUUAAGAAAUUAGAAUGUCGUAUUUUACGCAGUUUGCGCCGCUCCUAGUUUCGUUGCUGAAGAAAUUCGAUAAUCAAGACUUUUAAAUGCACGAGGAAGGAUUAAGAUUCACACGUUUGUUGUGCGAUUACUCGUAAUCGAAGGUGAGAAUCCUGACAUUCUGUCAGUGACCAAAUAUUUUGGAAUUUUAUGAAAUGAAACAUGAGUGAAAUGUUCGUGGUGACUGUUUGACGAAGGUCUCGAAGUACGUAUGUAAAUUUUGCCUUUGACGAAGCUCUUGUGAGUAGCUUCUACCUCAGUAGCAGAGAACUUUGAAGAAAGUUUUCUCAUAGACUAAUUGUAAACCAUAGUUAUGAAAAAAUGAUAGCAAAUAAUUUGAUUUUUAUACAGAUUAAAACCAACCAUCUGAGAUAGACACCGCAGGAGUUUGUUCAUGUAGCAGAUAUAAGCUUAGAGGGAAUGGGUGCUCAUAAGCUUUACCCAUUCGCUUUUAUCAGCUGUUAAUACACUUGUUGUAGAGCUAUGAUAAACUUUGCUCGCGCGUUUGUGUGUGUGUGUAUGUAUGUAUGUUUCUGUGUGUGUGAGAGGGAGAGAAAAGAGGGGGAGAGAGAGUAUGACAGUCUUUUCUCGCUGCUUCCAUAAGUCAAAAACCCAGUUAGUCUCAAACGUGUAGCUGGUCUGAAAGCCUAAAGCGCAAACCUCUACCGACCAAAUUUAAGGGUUUAUCAGAAAGAGGCACGAUUCUCUAAGGCCAUUAAUUACUUCAAAAAAAAUUAAUAUAGAUAAAAAAUAAAAAAAAACGUGGAGUAGAGGACAAAAGACUUGUGCUUGAAAUUUCUUGAAAAGCCCUAUUUUUCGCCGGCAGUUAGGCCUGAAGCACGGCUACUGGGAUUUUGACGCAUAUAUAAGACAUAAAUGACCUGUAGGCUUUAGUUCAAAGAUUAGCCGGGCUUGGAAUCUUAGCGCUCAUUACCUUCCAUAGACAUUGCUCAAGUAUAAACGGGAUGCUGCGACCCUGCUUCUCAGUCAUCUUGAAUUGACCCUGGAGAUUUUCCAUUGCUUUUGGCUUUUGCUUGGCAUAGCAAGAACUUAAUUUCUCGUCUUAACGAUUGAGAAUGCGUUAUGGUUUUCUUGGGUUUUUGCAGUAAUUUUAGUACGCAAGCUUACAUGGCUUUCAUUAUUUUAAUCCCAGUUCUAUAGGAAUUUUGUAAGCUUUUCAGUUUUGCUUCCUUGUUACUAUACUAGAUUUCUCUGUAUUCCCUGUCUUACCUAUUAUAUUUGUUCGUCCAAACCUGAAUGAUGUACAGAGACAUAUCCCAUAUUUCAUACAUUCUAUGAAAAAAAAAUAGUUUUUGGACACAGCUUUAUGUAUAUGGCUAAAGGGAGCGAACGGGAUAUUUCCAUGAAAGAUCCAUUGCAAGUACAGAGUUCUGUUGCUGCCAUGCCAAAGGACUUGGAAAUUAUGCUUCCAGUUUAAUUUUCGUGACGUAUUAAUGUAUCUCCUCUGACCUCUGUACUGAGGAGUCUUUGUGAGGCAAUCUUCACUCCUCCCUCAGAAUUUUGACGUGUCAUGAACGUUCGUUCCUCUGCAUCUUAAUUCAAGUAGGAAACAGAAAUUCUGCUUUUUUUGCGAGUGAAAUGUUAAGAGGAGUAGAAUGGCAUGCUAGCAAAACAAGGGACAUGUUCAAAGUUGACAGAAGUGAUGAAAUUAUAAGGCCGGGGUAAGGAGGGGAAUGACAGGUAUGCCGAGGUAAUAUGUUUCUUUCCUUAGUUUUCUCCUGAUCUUGUCUGUGACCAAACUCUGGGGAAGAACUUGUCAGUUCCAGCAGGGGAACCCCAAGUGUGAGGAGCUUCAAUGAAUGAAAGAAUUAAUCAAGUUUCUUUUUUAGUCUCAUUUUUAUAAGACAGUCUUCAUAUUCAUUCAUGCAAAGGUAUUGACAAUUAUGUUUCGUCAACUAAAUUUCGUUGUUGUUAUUCAAAGAGCUCCUAUAAAUGUAUUAUUUUAGAGUGGUAACGGUCAGCACAUCUAACUUCGAAUGGAUCUUGCUGAUGUGGAAUAAUGGAAGUAUCGGCAGUAUACGUAUGUAAAGAUGUAUUUGUAGAAAUAGACCCAUUCGCCCCGGACAAUAUUUUUGAAAUGAAUUUUUGACAUUUGCAUGAGUCCUACAGUCCAAGGUUCUCAUGGCAUACGUCAAAAUAAAAUACAAGUUAUUUUUUUAAUAUUAUAAUGCUGUAUUAUGUCAAUUGCAGUGAAGUACUACUUUAAGGGAUCCACGUAUUUUAUGUAGCCUAUAGGUAAUCAUUGUGAAUGAGUAUGAAUAAAUGCAUAACCUAAUAAAUAAACAUGCAGUAACAAAUACACCUUAUUUGCAUUAUAUAUAUAUAUAUAAUAUAUAUAUAUAUAUAUAUAUAUAUAUAUAUAUCACAAAAUCCACGUAAGAAGGUGAGUGAAAACCGGGACUUUGAAGGAGUACUUUCGUAAUUUCUUCUACAUUUUCAAGGUCACACUGAAUAUAAGAGAAAUUGACAGACCUUUAUAUACAAAAACAGAAGGGGGCCGUGGUUACAGUUUGUUAAUCUGGAUGGGGUGUUUUUAAGCAAAAGAGACAAGGAAAGAGGCUCAAGAUAUAAUCCAGGAUGGAGAUUACGUGGUUCGGAAGUCACGUAGAGCCGUUGGUCCCGUUGCUGAAUAACCACCGGUUCCAUGCAACGUAAAACCACCAUACAAACAAACAUACAUACAGGAUGGAGAUUAAAAUUACUUGUUGACCUGGCUUCAAUAAAAUUGGACGCCAACUGAUUCCUUUUGCGGUGAUCUUUGACCCUGCAUAUUAUAGAGAAAUUAUCCCAGUCAAUAUCAUGGCCUCUCUUAAGCCAAUCAUCCACAAUGCCAUUAUUUGUUAAGCCUCUUGAUGUAGCCUAUUUUGAGCUAAGGGCAACUCAGUUUUAGUCCUUUGGAUGUUUGACCAAUAUAAAUCUUAUUACAUUUUUAUAAAGAAUACUGUAUACAAUAUUGUUUGAAUUGGGCGGGCUAUUCUUUAAUAGUUUAUUUUUCAAAAUAUUAUAGAAUAAACUACGAAAGUGCUUCCCCAGUCUCAGAUUUCACUCCCCUUCAUACGUGGAUUUUGUGAUAUUCUCAAGCACUUUUUCCUUUUCCUUCGUGCUACAUUGAUAUGUAUGUAUGUAUGUAUGCAUAUAUAUAUAUAUAUAUAUAUAUAUAUAUAUAUAUAUAUAUAUAUAUAUAUAUAUAUUACCAGGUUUCCAUUAAUUGUACCGUAUUCACAAUCAUUUUUUUUUCACAAAGGAAAGCAUUUUUUCAUGUCAUUCCCGCGUCAACUUUCUUUUUAUGUUGCAAGGUUUUAUACUUAGGUAUUAAAAACAACGUACAAAAAGCGUUUCGUGACUUGCAUUUAUAGUGGCGACAGGACCAUUACUAUUGUUUCUGAAAGUAUAUUAUGCUCAAUAAUGUUCA